rfam:Clunio marinus genome assembly, contig: CLTMA_superscaffold_60B
GAAAUAGUCCUUUUCAGGACUACCAUAUAAAUUUUAAAAAAGAAAUU